rnacentral:lncRNA from 1 species
CUUCAGUGUGAGACAGGAGUUUACGCUCAGUAAACAAAGCACAGACCAGGGCUUGGGUUUUGCUGCUGAACAUCAUGUGAGUGUUGAUGCUCCCCAGCAGGAAAUAGGAAACAUAACAUUGACUCACUUCGGUGUGUACUGCAAACCCACAAAACAUUGUUCUUUGAGUCUUACACAUCUCAGACUUGGCAAAGACCACCAAUAUGUGCACUUCUUUCAUUUUUUUGAAGUGUUUUUUUUUUCUGAAGGAAUUGGUAAAGCUUGUGCUUGCACAGGCCUAUGAUGCUGAGAAACCUGUCAGAGCCGCCUCUUUGCCCUGCGUGUUUAAGGAUGGAGGCAUUGUUCUGAAACACUAUCCUUUGGAAGGACAGCAGCAAGCAAUCCCUGACCCUUUAACCACAGCAGUUCUCGGGCUGUCAGGCACUGGAGCAGUGUCUGCUGCAGAGCCUGUUCUCCUCGGUGGAUGGGUGCCAGCUGUGUUGCACAAGGAUUUCACCAGUUUGGAGAAGUACACGGGAAACAAAACUCACGUGAGAACAGUACUGGAAAACCUCAGGUCCUGUCCUCAACUGCUACUUUGUGCAUGAAGUAGGCAUCAAGCUGAGCAUGAGCUACUCUUCCUCCUUCCCUGCCAGCUGAGGAGCCACAUCUGGCCACUGGAAGGAGACACCAAGAAGUCCCCCACUGCAUCGCUGGCUGUGGUAACUGCAGAGCUGGACAGGACAAAAUACUCCACCCUAGCUGGGUAGUGAGUAAGAAGCAGAACUAGCUCAGUUUCCAGAAGUCUCUUUGUGUCUGUGACUAAAUUCCUCAGACUGUCAUAUAUCACUAAUGCCCUGCCAGCUCACUCUCUGCACCACCUAAUGCUUGUAACACCAGCCUUCAUACUUGAAUAUAUGUCAUUAAUUUAUACUAUUGUUUUUGUGUGAAUCAAACUGUAAUAAUUAAUUCUGCCAUUGGUCAAUUGGCCACAUCAUUCAGGUAAACCAGCAACUCUUCUUGAGAAUCUUGGAUCCCCUCAUCACAGCAGAUAUGCAGUGAGCUACCAUCACCAUACAGCUUUUGCCAUUUUCCUCUCCAGAUCUGUAGGCAGUGUUUUGAUAAUGCAGCUCUUCUAAGCACUGAAAGGAAGGAAAUCCAAUGUUUUGUUGCCCUUCUAGAAAAAAAUGCAAGGCAAGGUCUUGCAAGAGCAGGUGUGGUUCUAGGUUCAGGCAUGUGUUUGCUGUGAGACUGUGAAAAGUUUGGUGGGGUGUAGACUGUGUGUAUAUAUGUACACACAUGAAUAUAUAUCAUCUUCAUGGCUAUCCUCUUCAUUCCCAGGGCUAGGUUUACUAUAAACAGCUACAAAGCCCUGUUGGCUCCAU